rnacentral:lncRNA from 1 species
AGGUGUUUCUGGGAGAUAUGAUAUGCUGGACCCUGUCAGAGAGGUGUUUCUGGGAGAUAUGCUGGACCCUGUCAGAGAGGUGUUUCUGGGAGAUAUGAUAUGCUGGACCCUGUCAGAGAGGUGUUUCUGGGAGAUAUGAUAUGCUGGACCCUGUCAGAGAGGUGUUUCUGGAAGAUAUGAUAUGCUGGACCCUGUCAGAGAGGUGUUUCUGGGAGAUAUGCUGGACCCUGUCAGAGAGGUGUUUCUGGGAGACAUGAUAUGCUGGACCCUGUCAGAGAGGUGUUUCUGGGAGAUAUGAUAUGCUGGACCCUGUCAGAGAGGUGUUUCUGGGAGAUAUGCUGGACCCUGUCAGAGAGGUGUUUCUGGGAGAUAUGCUGGACCCUGUCAGAGAGGUGUAUCUGGGAGAUAUGCUGGACCCUGUCAGAGAGGUGUUUCUGGGAGAUAUGCUGGACCCUGUCAGAGAGGUGUUUCUGGGAGAUAUGA